GGAAGCUUAGCUCAGCUGGUUCAGAGCAUCUGCCUUACAAGCAGAGGGUCACAGGUUCGAACCCUGUAGCUUCCA
rnacentral:tRNA from 1 species